AAAAACUUUAAAGCGCCUGGACUAUCUGUACGGACGGAAACACAGAUAGUUGACGAGGAGGAGGUUUAUCGAAGAUUUCGGCGGAUGCCUCCCGGUUGAAUCAUCGCAACCGAAAGCAAUUACCUAAAACGAAAAGGUGACUUUUCGAACAAAAGUAAUUGUAAUGAUGAUA
rnacentral:ncRNA from 2 species